rnacentral:misc_RNA from 1 species
AACACCGUGUUUCGUUACCAAUGAUCAACGAGCACGUCUACCUGAUCAGUGAGGAUCUGGUCUUGGUGCCGUACCUGGCGCCGUUUGUGCCACGCUACCAUGAAUGGAUGUGCGACCCGGAGCUGCUCGCGGCCACUGAGAGCGAGCCCUUGUCCCUGGAGGAGGAGCGCGAGAACCAGUUGUCGUGGCUGCAAUCCACAGACAAGAUGACGUUCAUCCUGCUAGCGCCGGCUACAGCUCAUCAUGACCACGCCUCUGCCGUCGGAGGGGACCGUCUUUCUAGGGGUGCAGAGGAGCGGCAGCGGCGGCAAAAAGAUGAAGGCACCCAUGCUGGGCUCGUGCGCUUGUGUGGGAUGGUGCCGCCACUCGAAGAGGUGUUUGCGACCGCGUCGUCGUCGCCGAUUGCCUCUCUCGCGUCUUUUUGCCUCCCAGCCCCUGCUGUGUCGUACCCGGGCAGUAUCGUCACCACCGCAGAUCACACGCGCACCGUGUCGGAGUUGCAUUCCCCGCGAGAGAGAACGAGCACAUUCGGCUGUGCGUUUCCGCUCUUGAAGCGGUACGCUCCUUCGCAGGUGAAAGAGCUCUUCAGCAGCGACGCAUCUUCAGCUGUGUCGCAGCCGCAAGGAGCCUGUGCGAGAGCUGAGGAGGUGCAGCGCCGUGCGCUGGCGCAGCCGUACGUCAUGAUCGGUGAUUGCAAUCUCUUUUUGCUGGAAGAGGAUGACGAUGGCGGCGACGAGGCCAGUGACGGGGUUGCAGCGUUUGGCUGGCCGAGCUCCUGCGAACAGCAACAGCACCGCCGAUCCCCCACGUCUGCUGCGAUACCGUCGGACGGCAGCCCGCCGCUUACUCCGGUUUCCGCCUUGGCACCCUCGCGUACGUUCGAGGUUGAGGUGAUGGUGGCCGACACAGCCUUCCGGCGUCGCGGGUUGGCUGAGGCUGCCGUCCGUAUGAUCAUGCAGUAUGCCGUCGCCGUCUGCGGUGGGACCCGCUUCGUGGCAAAAAUCCUUGCUACGAACACCGGCAGCAUCGCGCUUUUUACGGAGCGCCUCAAGUUCGCGCCGUUUAAGGAGGUGAAGGUGUUCAACGAGGUCCACGUUGCACGCUCGCUGAGGACGGAGAAGGAGCGCCGUGCGUGGGAGCUGGAGUGCCGGCGAAGCAGGUGCGGGCGCGCCGCGUGUAGCAAGGCUUCUCUGCACGGUCGAACGGCGAGGUGCGAAAGCCGUGCAGGUGCCGUGCCAGACGGCGCAAGAGGAACAGAUAAGCCGGAGGAACCACCGUCCGCGUCGCCACCACACUCGCAGCAGGCCGGCUCGGAACUGAGCCACACGUACUGGUGCGCACCACUGGACGACGUGGUGGCGUCUUCGAUUCGGGUCUUCACACAAGCGCCAUAAGGCGAGCACGUUGAACACGUCCACGACGCAGCCAACUGCAGAGGCAGCACAGCUAGGAGCGAGGCAGAUAAGGUGGAGGUGGUGCAUGGAGCUGCCUCUCGUAUGGAUGUGGAGGCGGCCUCAGCGCUGCUACAACCCCGUUAACACAGUACCCUCUGACUUCGUCGCUCUCGCUCUCAGCAUUCCGUUCUGUUUGCGCCGCUAUCCACAUCACUCUUCUCCCUUCGUCCUCGUGAAGCUGAGGCAUUGAGGCAGCAUGUCUUCGCGACAACAGCACGCGACCAUCGGCGGCAGCGCACCAGCGUGCCUUUUGUGUUUACGCGUGCUACUCGAUGCGCUUGCGGCGUUCUCACGUAUUCGCCCGCCUCCCCCCCUCCUCCUCUCCUCCACCUCUCCUCAUCGUCGCCCAUGCUGCACACACGUGCUCUCGUGCGCGCUUCUAAACGCCUUCGUCGCUCUCUUGGCGAUGGGUCUACAG